rnacentral:rRNA from 1 species
GGAGGAAAAGAAACUAACAAGGAUUCCCCUAGUAACUGCGAGUGAAGCGGGAAAAGCUCAAAUUUAAAAUCUGGCAGUCUUUGGCUGUCCGAGUUGUAUUCUGGAGAAGCGUCUUCCGUGCUGGACCGUGUACAAGUCUCCUGGAACGGAGCGUCAUAGAGGGUGAGAAUCCCGUCUUUGACACGGACUACCAGUGCUUUGUGAUGCGCUCUCAAAGAGUCGAGUUGUUUGGGAAUGCAGCUCAAAAUGGGUGGUAAACUCCAUCUAAAGCUAAAUAUUGGCGAGAGACCGAUAGCGAACAAGUACCGUGAGGGAAAGAUGAAAAGCACUUUGGAAAGAGAGUUAAACAGUACGUGAAAUUGCUGAAAGGGAAACGCUUGAAGUCAGUCGCGUUUGCUAGGACUCAGCCUUGUCUCGGCUUGGUGCAUUUCCUAGUAGACGGGCCAGCAUCACUUUUGGUUGCGGGAAAAAGGUUAGAGGAAUGUGGCACCUCCGGGUGUGUUAUAGCCUCUGAUUGUAUACCGUGGCUGGGAGUGAGGAACUCAGCACGCCUUCAUGGCGGGGCUUCGGCUACCUUCGUGCUUAGGAUGCUGGCGUAAUGGCUUUAAACGACCCGUCUUGAAACACGGACCAAGGAGUCUAACAUGCCUGCGAGUGUUUGGGUGGAAAACCCGAGCGCGUAAUGAAAGUGAAAGUUGGGACCUCUGUCGUGGAGGGCACCGACGCCCGGACCAGACCUUCUGUGACGGAUCCGCGGUAGAGCAUGUAUGUUGGGACCCGAAAGAUGGUGAACUAUGCCUGAAUAGGGUGAAGCCAGAGGAAACUCUGGUGGAGGCUCGUAGCGAUUCUGACGUGCAAAUCGAUCGUCAAAUUUGGGUAUAGGGGCGAAAGACUAAUCGAACCAUCU